rnacentral:rRNA from 1 species
GAUGAACGCUGGCGGCGUGCCUAAUACAUGCAAGUCGAGCGAACGGACCAGAAGCUUGCUUCUCUAAUGUUAGCGGCGGACGGGUGAGUAACACGUGGAUAACCUACCUAUCAGACUGGGAUAACUUCGGGAAACCGUAUCUUAUACCGGAUAAUAUUUUGACCUGCAUUGUUCCAAAGUUAAAUACGCUCUUGCUGUCACUUAUAGAUGGAUCCGCCCUGCAUUAGUUAGUGGGGAAGGUAACGGCUUACCAAGGCAACGAUGCAUAGCCGACCUCAGAGGGUGGUCGGCCACACGGGAACUGAGACACGGUCCAGACACCGACGGGAGGCAGCAGUAGGGAAUCUUACGCAAUGGGCGAAUGCGUGACGUAGCAACGCCGCGGGAGGGAUGAAGGUCUACUGAUGGUAAAAUUCUGUUAUUAGGGAAGAACAUAUGUGUAAUUAACUGUGAACAUAUUGACGGUACCUAAUCAGAAAGCCACGGCUAACUACGUG